rnacentral:rRNA from 1 species
GAUGAACGCUGGCGGCGUGCCUAAUACAUGCAAGUCGAGCGAACAGAUGAGGAGCUUGCUCCUCUGACGUUAGCGGCGGACGGGUGAGUAACACGUGGAUAACCUACCUAUAAGACUGGGAUAACUUCGGGAAACCGGAGCUAAUACCGGAUAAUAUAUUGAACCGCAUGGUUCAAUAGUGAAAGACGGUUUUGCUGUCACUUAUAGAUGGAUCCGCGCCGCAUUAGCUAGUUGGUAAGGUAACGGCUUACCAAGGCAACGAUGCGUAGCCGACCUGAGAGGGUGAUCGGCCACACUGGAACUGAGACACGGUCAAGACUCCUACGGGAGGCAGCAGUAGGGAAUCUUCCGCAAAGGGCGAAAGCCUGACGGAGCAACGCCGCGUGAGUGAUGAAGGUCUUCGGAUCGUAAAACUCUGUUAUUAGGGAAGAACAAAUGUGUAAGUAACUAUGCACGUCUUGACGGUACCUAAUCAGAAAGCCACGGCUAACUACGUG